CACUAUAGUUUCACCUUAAACGAACUGUAAAUAUAUGUGAACUUAUGGCAUAUCCCUUGAAAGCAUGGAUUCAGUAAUUUCUUAUCUCAAAAUGGUUCAUUAGGCCAAAAGUUCAAAUCUUGUUUUUUUUAUGUGGUCCUUCAAAGUCAACAUCCUAGAGGAUCAGUUCCCCAACUGACAGAGAAGCUGAUCUCAGUCUUGUGUUUUCAAGGCUGACUUUCCAACAUACCGAGGGUGUGUGCUUACUAUUGAGGUAAAUUCCCCCCCCCCCCGCACAAAACCACUUGACUUGGACAGGCCAGCUCGGAAAUAUGGAAGCCCUACCUGAUUUUCAGCAUGCUGGGGGAUUGAUUCUCUAUAGUGUGACCGAUGCAGAAAUAUCUUGAUUUUCUAGUGUGACCGAUAUUGAUCAUCUAGUGUGAUCGAUGUAGAAAAAUAAUUUCAUUCUCUAAUGUGACUGAUGUAGAAAUAUAUUGAUUCUCUAGUGUAAUCGAUGAUUCUCUAGUGUGAUCGAGGUAGAAAUAUAUAUGUAUUUGCAAGUUUAAUGAAUGCAGUUCUUUCAGUGUCUGUAAACAGAUACCCCACUACAAAAUACAUCAAUUAUAUACGACUGGAAUGGUGAAUACAUUUUGCACGGUUAUAUUUUCGAAAUAACUUUUGACUGCUGUUAAUUUAUUGAAUUGUUUGAUGGGUAAAGUUUAAUUGUUUUUUACAACAUAGAAAAAGCAUAUUUGGGUGAUAGUCGUUAUACCUUGCACUUUAAGAACAGACCUGUUAAGAUUCAGUGUUUCAACCUCCAUUUGCUCUGCGUGCUAUAGCUACAUGUAUAACUACUUUCGCAUCUCUUUUAAAUAUUUUGGCAAUUUGCAAAAAUUUCUUUUGAAAAGUUUUUGUACUAGUAUUGCGAAUAAUUUUCCGCAGAUGGGGUCUGUGUAAUUUCUGAUGGGCGUAACAAAUAUUGUGUAAGGUGUUACAUAUGGCAGUGUGUAAACUACUGGUAGAAUGUUUGUUCAUGAUUUUAGGCAUGUUUCUAACCUCUAAAAUUAUUAGUGAUUGACAUCAGGAAUUUUUGCUGGUACCACUUAAACUCCGUAAAAUGCAUGAUUUUAUUUGCACUGUGAUCAUGACUGUAUACUGUGUUCGCUCCUUGAAGUGAGAUGGAUACAUGGCACUUAUAAAAUUGCUGCAGCAUUUCUUGUAGACACUCACGGGUCUCCGGUCUGACAUUGCCCAAAGAAGGCCGAACAUCCCUUCCACUCUCGUGGAAUAUAAAAUUAUAUGUACAAUAUAUAUAUCACUGACUCCUGGAUUGUCCGAUUUGCACCCCACUUCAGGUGAAAUCGCUUAAAGUGUUGAAAUUUGCAUUUAUGAAUGUUAUGUGGUAACCACACGUCUAUUGAUCAUAAUUUUGUAGUAAUUUUAUGUGUUUGAGCAUUAUGACUCUAUCUGGCUGCAGACUAAAUGGGCGUAAAUCAUAUUCUGCCUACAUUUACAUGUCAUAUCUCUGCUAAUCCGUACUAUUUGUACAUGAUUCCAAUUUAAGAUCAAAACUUUAAGGGCGAUGUGUCUAAGAUUUGCAAGUUGGUGUUGUAUUCUUUCUUUGUUUAUACAUUGUCGUAUACAUGUGUAUCCAGCCAAAGCGGCUGACUGAUUGGUCAAAAUGGCACUGAUUCUGUAUUUUGUCCAUUCUCACUUCUACUUGGAUUUUCUUCAAUGAAUUUAAAGUGAAGAUAAAAAUAGAGUUUAAAUUGAAUAAUCCCAGUGUGUUUUAUGCCAAAAAUUUGCCUUUUGGUGUUUUGCAUACACUUUUCAGGUCCAACAUGAUGAAAAUUCAGAUCGAGAUGAAAAAGAGAAUUUCGAAGACUUUCAAACUUCACCAAAUGAAUUGAAUUAUAAAAGCUUUAUAUUGCUCUCAAGGGACAUCAUUAUGGUGAAUCAACCCAGUCCUUGAGCGUAAUAGUCACCUGGGGGACCUGGCCUCAAUGAAAAGAAGUGACUCUGUCGACUUUCCUGGAGUAACUGAGUGAAAAGUUACAGUCAUGGAUAGACCGUUUUACAUAGUUUUCAUUCUCCAAUGCUGUCUAUAAUCGUGCCAGUGUACUCUCUAGUGAAUUUCCCUCGAUUUGGUUACGCAAAUGUGGCAGGUUAAUUAUCAGCCAACAUGGCUGAAUGACUGGCUAAAGAAAGAAUGUGGCAGGUUGAUUUUCAGCCAACAUGGUUCAAUGACUGGCUAAAGAAAGAAUGUGGCAGGUUAAUUUUCAGCCAAUAUGGUUCAAUGACUGACUACAGAAAGAAUGUGGCAGGUUAAUUUUCAGCCAACAUGGCUGAAUGACUGACUAUUUUGGAAAGAAUGUGGCAGGUUAAUUUUCAGCCAACAUGGUUCAAUGACUGACUACAGAAAGAAUGUGGCAGGUUAAUUUUCAGCCAACAUGGUUCAAUGACUGACUACAGAAAGAAUGUGGCAGGUUGAUUUUUGGCCAAUCUUGACUGAAUGACUGACGAGAAAGUCUUAUUUUAAGGUUUCUGUUUUAUGAUACUUUCGUGUCGGUGAUGAAUCUUCAUGUCAGAAACUUGACAGGUUGAGGUAUAUAUUCAUGUCCCAAAUGUUAGACUGGGGUAUUCCCACAAUGUAAAAUAAUUAAUGAUUUCGUCUUUUAAAGUUGUAUUCAAACCCAUUGAUAUUGUAUUUUGUAUAAAUAUUGCGUUAAUUUUAAUGAUAAUACUCAUAAUUAUUAAGUACUUGUUAAUAUCUGCCGUUGAAUGGCUAAUUACAGAGGAAUUUUGAGGAAUAAAGGCCUUCCUCCACAUAAGUGAUACUCUGCACGAGAUUUCCAGAGGCAUUGAACUAAUAAAGUUCAUCAUUCCUUGUUGUUGGUGGCAUCAUUCAGCGCAGGCUAGAGGGGAUUCCCUUUUAGCUCAGUCAGCAGAUUGAUGACUUGUAUCUCGUCGGAGGAACCCGAUUGUGAGGAUCAAGGCAAGAGACAGGAGGAGUAUGUAGUGGUGGCAUCAUUCUUCUAGCCCAGGCUAGAGGAAACUCAGAUGUUAAGAGGGAUGGCCUUGUAAUCCAAUGGUCUGGGAUUCAAAUACCAGCUGGAUCUUGGUGUUUUUCAUUGUUGCAUAAAAUAUGAACAUGUCCAAAGCAUGUGGACAGAGUGAAAAUUGCAGUGUUAAACAACUAAUAAAUAAUAAUAUGGAGGAUGGCCUUUUAAUGUGUAUUUUUGAAGUGUAUAUUAUUUGGCUGGUCCUGGCUGAGCGAAAAUCAAAAGGUUGUACAUAAUUUCAUGGUUUACAAGCAUUGUGAAUGGAAUGUUUUUUUCUUGGAAAACCCAUGUACUAAGUUAACCCCUUCAUGGCUUAAAAAAAAUACUUCUCCCACAACGAGAUAUUUUUUUCUAAAAUAACACCAAAUUUGUCUGAUUUCCAUGCCUUUAAUGGAAGAAAAUGGACAGCGAAAAGUCCCAGGGUAUUUUACGCACAUGGUGUGGCGUCCAGCAAAACUGUGGACCAAUGUGAACUUGUCUGUUACCAAAAUGGUGUUUUUGGCUGGAAGAUUUCGGUUUUGCAGUAUAUUUUGGCUGACCCCUAUGAUAACCUGGCCCACUUUGGCAUUGACGGUAGUUUCCCUUUAAGGUAUUGGUGAUAUAUUAGUUAUCAAGCAUGAAGGGGUUAAAGUUGUGAUUCGUGUACAUAGUAUUAUAUGUGUACAUGUACGUAGAACGUUAGAAAGUAUGAUAAUAUUUAUACUUUUUCUGAGAAAAAUCAAAAAUAUCAGUUUACGCAAAGGUACAGUGUAUAGUCAGUGUAAUGGUUUUGUAAUUGUAAUGUUUGGUUGAAAUUGAUUUUGAAUGUAGUUGUAGUAUUGUGUUUGAUUUGGGAAGUUUUGUUUGUGAGUAUAUACAUUCACAUGUAGUUUAGUUAGAUUCAAAUGUUGGUUGAUGUAUUGACUUGAAUACUCCUUCUGAUGCCUGUGACAUGUAAGUAGGCCCACAUUCUCACCCCUAAUUCCAGAAAAAAAUUAUGAGUUCGUGUAGCUUGCAGGGUAUGGUAUAAUGAGAAACCAUUUAAAUUCUGUAAAUCUCAGGCACGAAAAACAAAAUACAUUGUACUUACAAGGACAAACAUAUUAUGUUGCAUAUUCAAUAAGUCUUCAUGUUAUAUGAUAUUUUCGUGAUUACAAAAGAAUGGGAUAGCAUAUUACCAAAACGCAACAUAUUUUGUAGUUAUGAGGAUCAGUAUAAGCAUUGUUGUGUGGACCCCUCAUGUUUGGUGCAGUUAAACCGCAUAUCCCACACACUUUUGGAGUCGUUUACAACUUGAAUGUCACAAUAUAAGGUCAGCAUGAAGUGUACAACAUUUGCAUUGUUUGACACAUACAUUGUAUUUCAAAUACAUUUGGUCCUGCACCCCAGGCCUCACCCUGAGUGCGAAUGUCAAUCUCUUUUCGUAUUUGUAUCGACUGAGGCAACAGUAUUCAAUAAUGAGGAAUAUUGCCACAAACUGACCUACAACUUGAUACAUUUACGUGUAAACCAAAGUGAUGCUAUAAAAAAUCGGCUUCCUAUUGUAUAUUUGGGCACAGAUUCUGAUGCAUAUUGAUAUCAAAAAAUGCGUUAUGUUACUUUAUUACUGUAAAAUUGGUCAGGAGCUGUCUUGUCUGACACUCCAGCUCAUGCCACAUUGAAGGCAUGACAGCACCUGAGUGAGUAUACAGAGUCUGUUUAGAGACUAUCAUCGGAGAUCAGACCUUGUACAGAAUCUACUGUUUGAAUGUUAAUAUUGUCUUCUUGUCGCUGUAGUGGGGCAGUAAUUAAAGGAACAGCAGUUUAUGAAUUAUGUCAAUGUAGUCCUUUAAGAUGAGUAUUUCAUUCACCGAUUCUGGGAUGAUGAGGUCAUAAUAUUACACUUAUUUAUCUAUAAAACGACUAGUUCUUGUGCAUCUGUAUAAAGUGUUAUCAUUUAUUCCCAUGAUUUAAUGGUCAUAUGCCUGGUGUUCGUAAGCCAAAGUACAGUCAUGAUUGGCCAGUACGUUAAUAGCAAUAGUGGUGAAAUGUCUCUGCAUGUACUUAAUUUCAAAAAUUCAAAUGCCAGUUUCCAUGUUAGAUAUCCAGAGUUUUAAGCAAUAUGAAUUGUACCUGUUACUGUAAACUCUGCUGGGUGCUUUCAAGAUUAGGCCAACAGUCCUUGGGUGUACCUGAAUGUAUCAUCAAAGGGGUACACCGUUCGUAAUUACUGGUGGUCUAUGAAAAAAGAAAUUCAGUCAUACAUAAAGUCGUUGUGCAGUUAUUAUGCAUACAUAUUUGUUAAAACUUGGUAGUCAUAGUAUUUGUAUAUCAGUCUACUCAACAGCAAUUCUGAAAUAUGUAUUGAGAAUGUAUAUUCACACGGUGGGAAAGUUUCAAAUUCAGUUACAAAUUAUAAAUUGUUAAUGACCGGUGUUGGUCUUUAAGAUCAGGCGAGUUGUGCAGUAUCAUCUGGUUUGUCAAGACUGCUGCCGGCUGAAAUUACAGUAGUGACUGCAGUUGUUUGCCAUUCAUGUUCAUUGGACUUUCUUGUGGCAUUUCCAUAUAGUGAAUGCAUGCAAAUUUGCUUAAAGUUGGCGUGUAUAGUCUAGUAUUUGUAUAAGGACACUAGAUUUAAUCCAUAAUUGGUUGUUGCGAUUCACUUUGACCUCUUUAAUCAGGACACCUCUCUAUUAAGGACAGCAUUUGUCAGUCCCAAAGGUGUCCUCAAUAGACGCUGUCAGUUGUUUAGAUAAGCCAUUUGCAGCUCAGGCAAUACCUAACGCAGACUUUUAUUAAUCAAACUUAUUCAUUUCAUUAUCAAAAGCACCGACUGAUAUUGCCCAUGAUUAUACAAAGAACAAGCACCCUAAUACGGCCAAAACUGAUACAACUUACCUAGAUUUAUAAAUCUGCUGUUUAUAUCAUCUUCCCGAAGCACCAGUAAUAUAGACUGUGAUCUGAAGCUGUUUUUCAAUUGUCACUCAAAAGAAAUUAUGAUAACAUUUUAUCCUUAGACACCAUCAAGUUAAAGUCUGGAACGGGAAGAUUUAAGGUCGAGGACGAUAUAUGUUGUAAUUUACAGACAAAAACACAGAAAAAUAAUCUCUGAUUGGAGGAAUAUUCUUCUCUCACCUUUAGAGAGAGAACCAUGCAGUCCUAAACAACCUAUACCACACUAACCCCUGCAACCCUUCCCUCAACCAAAUCCCUUGGACAAAUUAUAGGGUACGAUUAGGAGCCUCAUAGCCCAGUGGUUACACUGCAGGCUCCCACACAUUAGGGCCCGGGUUCGAUCCCAGCGAAAACCCAGGAUUUGUAUUUUGGUUGAACAUGGGUUUGCAUUUAGGAUGCUAGAAUUCCUGGCUCUUCACAGUCUUUUAAUGAGACAAGGUUUGCUGUGUCUGGUGUCUAUGCCAGGGCAAGAAAAGGCCCACAAGUGGGAAACAAUUGACUCCCCCUCCUUGCCAAAAGUUUCUUGGUAUGAUGGUCACCACGUUCCAGUAUUGACCAGAACCAGAACUAACGCUGCAUAUAAUCAUAAAUUGAUUAAUCGACCACUUUUAUAUGCCCCAAAGUUUUUUUUUGGUGAUUGGCAAAUGAUAUGCCCUGUGUUGAACUUCAUUCACUGGUACUGCAAGCCCCAUAAUUUUUGUGGCCUGAAUCUUUAACCAAAAAAUAUCUUAUUGAUAUUGCACUUCCAAUAAUAAGUUGAAAAGGACCCAUUAAAACUGUUGUAUGUGUUUGAUUUUUGAUGUCCAUGCAUAUUAUAAAAGAAAAGGGUUUACAAUACAGGGGCUACAAAUCUUAUGAGAAGGGUGUCUCUGCAAUCUUAACAUAAGCUUGAGUCUUGAAUUCUAUUCCAGUUACAGUAAGUUGCCCUAUUUUGUCCCCAGGUUGUACAAAUUUUUGUGUGGGUAUGCACAGUCAUCAGGUUGUGUUAGUCUGUUCGUGGUAUCUAUUUAUAAAAUAUUGUAAAUUUUCACAAAAAUAAAGAAAAAAUCUUCGUGAGGGUAA